rnacentral:rRNA from 1 species
UACGUAGGUCUCGAGCGUUGUCCGGAUUUAUUGGGCGUAAAGCGAGCGCAGGUGGUUUAUUAAGUCUGGUGUAAAAGGCAGUGGCUCAACCAUUGUAUGCAUUGGAAACUGGUAGACUUGAGUGCAGGAGAGAAGAGUGGAAUUCCAUGUGUAGCGGUGAAAUGCGUAGAUAUAUGGAGGAACACCGGUGGCGAAAGCGGCUCUCUGGCCUGUAACUGACACUGAGGCUCGAAAGCGUGGGGAGCAAACAGG